rnacentral:rRNA from 1 species
AUGAACGCUGGCGGCAUGCCUUACACAUGCAAGUCGGACGGGAAGUGGUGUUUUCCAGUGGCGGACGGGUGAGGUAACGCGUAAGAAACCUACCCUUGGGAGGGGAACAACAGCUGGAAACGGCUGCUAAUACCCCGUAGGCUGAGGAGCAAAAGGAGGAAUUCCGCCCGAGGAGGGGCUCGCGUCUGAUUAGCUAGUUGGUGAGGCAAUAGCUUACCAAGGCGAUGAUCAGUAGCUGGUCCGAGAGGAUGAUCAGCCACACUGGGACUGAGACACGGCCCAGACUCCUACGGGAGGCAGCAGUGGGGAAUUUUGGACAAUGGGCGCAAGCCUGACGGCCAGCCAUUGCCGCGUGCAAGGUAGAAGGCCCUACGGGUAUGUAACUUCUUUUGUACGGACGAAACGCGCCCUAAGACAGGGCCUAAUGACGGUAUCCGGGAGAAUAAGCACUCGGCUAACUACUGUGCCAGCAGCCGCGGUAAGACAGUAGGAGUGCGAAGCGUUAAUCGGAAUGACUGGGCGUAAAGCGUGCGCUAGGCGGUGAUGUAAGUACGAUGUAAAUCCCCGGGCUCAACCUGGGAACAGGCGAUUUGGUGAACUGCAAUCGCUGGAGUGCGGCAGAGGGGGAAGGGGAAUUCCGGGCGUGUAGCAGUGAAAAUGCGUAGAGAUGCGGAAGGAACACCAGAUGGCGAAGGCAAUCCCUGGGCCUGCACUGACGCUCAUGCACGAAAGCGUGGGGAGCAAACAGGAUUAGAUACCCCUGGUAGUCCUACGCCGUAAACGAUGUCAACUAGGUUGUUGGUCCUUCGACGUGGAUCAGUACGAAGCUAACGCGUGAAGUUGAUCCGCCUGGGGAGUACGUGCCGCAAGGAUUGAAACUCAAGGAAUUGACGGGGGACCCGCACAAGCGGUGGAUGCAUGUGGUUUAAUUCGAUGCAACGCGAAGAAACCCUUACCUAGGCCCUUGACAUGCCGCGAAUCCUCUGCAGAGAUGUGAGGGUGCCUCGAGGGAGCGAGGACACAGGUGGCUGCAUGGCUGUCGUCAGUCAUGCCGUGUACGUGAGAUGUUGGGUUAAGUCCCGCAACGAGCGCAACCCUCGUGUCGUUAGUUGCCAAGCGGUUCGUGCCUGGCACCCUACGAGACUGCCGGUGUUAUAAAGCCGGAGGAAGGUGGGGAUGACGUCAAGUCCUCAUGGCCCCUUAUGCCCAGGGCGACACACGUGCUACAAAUGACCGGUACAAAGGGAUUGCGAAUCCCGCGAGGGUGCGAGCCAAUCUCAAAAAAACCGGCCUCAGUUCGGAUUGAAGUCUGCAACUCGACUUCAUGAAGUCGGAAUCGCUAGUAAUCGCCGGAUCAGCAUACAGGGGGUGAAUACGUUCCCGGGCCUUGUACACACCGCCCGUCACACCUAUGGGAGCUGGCAUUGCUCCAGAAAGUGGCUUACGCUAACCCGCAAGGGGGGGCAUGUCCUUAAGGAGGGACUAGUGACUGGGGUG